rfam:Myotis davidii contig139085, whole genome shotgun sequence.
GGUGCUUCUUGGAUGACACACCCCAGAAUCGGACUCCUUGCUCUCUGGUUCCGGGUGCAUCACCCUAUAACCACA